CCUACGGGAGGCAGCAGUGAGGAAUAUUGGUCAAUGGGCGCGAGCCUGAACCAGCCAAGUAGCGUGAAGGAUGACUGCCCUACGGGUUGUAAACUUCUUUUAUAAAGGAAUAAAGUGAGGCACGUGUGCCUUUUUGUAUGUACUUUAUGAAUAAGGAUCGGCUAACUCCGUGCCAGCAGCCGCGGUAAUACGGAGGAUCCGUGCGUUAUCCGGAUUUAUUGGGUUUAAAGGGAGCGUAGGUGGGUUGUUAAGUCAGUUGUGAAAGGCUGCGGCUCAACCGUAAAAGUGCAAUUGAUACUGGCAGUCUUGAGUACAGGUGAGGUAGGCGGAAUUCGUGGUGUAGCGGUGAAAUGCUUAGAUAUCACGAAGAACUCCGAUUGCGAAGGCAGCUUACUAAACUGCUACUGACGCUGAUGCUCGAAAGUGUGGGUAUCAAACAGGAUUAGAUACCCGAGUAGUC
rnacentral:rRNA from 1 species